rnacentral:lncRNA from 1 species
CUCUCUCUCUCUGAGCUUCAGAUAAUCGGAGCCCAUAUCCUGCUGUAGCCUUCCAUCUGUGCAGAGCUGCAGAUGCAAGUGCAACUCCUGUUGUUUGGCCUGCUCUGUGUUCUUGGUCGUCGUCGUCUUCAUCAAGUACAACCACAUGGUCCAGCCACAGUGCAGUAACUCUGCAGCAGUCAUUUGACCGGUUACAUCUGCUGUGUGUUAGAUUGUUCAGCAGUAUACAUGGCCAUGGAUUCCUGAUGGGAGUGGCAUGGGAGUGAGUGCUUGAAACAGGCUCAAAAACCUUUCCUUUGCUGCACAUUGCAAGUUUGUAGCUGGGUUUCUCGAGGAGCUCUUGAUUUGGUGUGAUUUGAUGUGUGUGUAUUUAGCAUCUGGAUGAUCUGUUUUAUGAUCUGAGUUGUGAU